rnacentral:rRNA from 1 species
GUGAACGCUGGCGGUAGGCCUAACACAUGCAAGUCGAACGGCAGCACAGUAAGAGCUUGCUCUUCCGGGUGGCGAGUGGCGGACGGGUGAGGAAUACAUCGGAAUCUACUUUUUCGUGGGGGAUAACGUAGGGAAACUUACGCUAAUACCGCAUACGACCUACGGGUGAAAGCAGGGGAUCUUCGGACCUUGCGCGAUUGAAUGAGCCGAUGUCGGAUUAGCUAGUUGGCGGGGUAAAGGCCCACCAAGGCGACGAUCCGUAGCUGGUCUGAGAGGAUGAUCAGCCACACUGGAACUGAGACACGGUCCAGACUCCUACGGGAGGCAGCAGUGGGGAAUAUUGGACAAUGGGCGCAAGCCUGAUCCAGCCAUACCGCGUGGGUGAAGAAGGCCUUCGGGUUGUAAAGCCCUUUUGUUGGGAAGGAAAAGCAGCAGGUUAAUACCCCGCUGUUCUGACGGUACCCAAAGAAUAAGCACCGGCUAACUUCGUG